GACGAACGCUGGCGGCGUGCUUAACACAUGCAAGUCGAACGGAAAGGCCUCUUUCGGGGGGUACUCGAGUGGCGAACGUGUGAGUAACACGUGAGUAACCUGCCCUUGACUUUGGGAUAACUUCAGGAAACUGGGGCUAAUACCGGAUAGGAGCUCCUGCUGCAUGGUGGGGGUUGGAAAGUUUCGGCGGUUGGGGAUGGACUCGCGGCUUAUCAGCUUGUUGGUGGGGUAGUGGCUUACCAAGGCUUUGACGGGUAGCCGGCCUGAGAGGGUGACCGGCCACAUUGGGACUGAGAUACGGCCCAGACUCCUACGGGAGGCAGCAGUGGGGAAUAUUGCACAAUGGGUGGGAGCCUGAUGCAGCAACGCCGUGUGCGGGAUGACGGCCUUCGGGUUGUAAACCGCUUUCGCUCAUGACGAAGCUUUGUGUGACGGUAGUGGGUAAAGAAGCACCGGCUAACUACGUG
rnacentral:rRNA from 1 species